rnacentral:tRNA from 1 species
GUCUAAGUAGCUUAAUGGUUAAAGCACAAGAUUGAAAAUUUUGGGAGUGCAGGUUCAAUUCCUGUUUUAGACA